GAGGGUAUAGCUCAGUGGUAGAGCACAUGCUUAGCAUGCAUAAGGUCCUGGGUUCAAUCCCCAGUACCUCCA
rnacentral:tRNA from 1 species